UAUCAUUCGCCCACACGUUCCAGCGUGAACCGCUACACCUCUAUUGCCGCAGCAAGAUCCCUCCACCAUAUAGGAAAGGCCAAGAUAAGGAAGGAGGAGUCUGCCGUAGGGCCGGUGCCAGCUAUCUCCACCAUCAUCAUUCCAACAUAUAGGAAAUUUGUGUAUGAUUUUGUUCUUAGUGAAUGGUAACAGAUGUAUGUUAUCAUGCCAUGUGCAGGUGGACUGAAAUAGUCAGUUUGACAGGGGAGCAUUGUCUGUGAGCGGAUGGAGUGUGGCUGCCUCAGUGAACUCAGCGCAAUCCAUUGGGGAUGCUCAAACUGGUAAAGUUUAAUAUGGGAGCAAUUGAGCAAGGACGGGUGCUCUGUCCGCAAAUAAUUCAGGCUGGAUUAACUGGUUCACGCAGCAUCGACUGCAAUAGUCGGGAUAUGCCUUUUUUUGCAGCAGAAUUGACACUGUUUUCCCUGGGCAUAUGACUGACUAACUUGUAACGGCGAUGAACUGUACCAAGGCCUAAACGCUCGAUGCUGCAAAUUCAGAGCGACCGUUUGGACAUUGCA